rnacentral:sRNA from 1 species
AUGGAGCCCUCAGUGGGAUGAGGGUGAAACUGCUAUUGCCUGCUUCUGCUGUGUUCCCGCCUCAGCAUGCUGGUGCAUUUAUUUCGGGUCGGGAUUCGGGGUGGCCCAUUCCCAGGCAGGCUGCUACCGCCCCUCCGCUUCCAGACAUUCUCAGCUGUCAGCUGUGGAGAGGGAGCAUGUGUCAUGGCGCCCCAGGCCAGGGAGGGGAGGUAGGGUAAUGGGCCUGGGACAUCAGAAGACAUGGCACGCUGGCAGAGUAGAGCCAGCCUGGGUGCUGGAGUCAGACUUCAGACUUGGUUCCCUGCUCGUCCCAGUUCUGCUGCCUGGGGACAAGUUAUUUCAGCUCUCUUAGCUCCACAUGAUUUUUUUCAUCUGUCAGGUGAGAAUAAUGGUACCUCCCUCCCAGGGAGGUGAGGAUCAAGGGAAGUAGCCCAUUAGCUCCAGGAGGUGGGGCCAUGUCUGCCCUGGUGGCUGCUGUGAGCAAGUCCAGUGCCGGGCACAGGAGCAGCUCUUUCCUCACCUCUCUGCACCGUGGUCCCUUGAACCCCCGGCCCCUUC